GGUGGUUCUUGGGUGACACACCCCGGAAUUUGGCUCCCUCCUCUCUGGUUCCAGGUGCAUCACCAGAGAACUGUA
rfam:Myotis davidii contig189572, whole genome shotgun sequence.